GAUUUAAUGAUAAAACAUAUUUUUUAGGCUCAAGAAAGAGUUCCUUGAUAAAUCAGUUCAGAAUUUUCGAAGGAUUUGUGUCUUCAGGGAUUGGCACCCUACUUUUGUUUUUUGCCUUUUGUUCUCAACAUAUGAGGAGAUCAUUCUGAGGUGACAUGCACUUUUGAUGUGUGGACCCCUCCGGGGACGCACGCUCGCAUGAGCCCUAUUUUGUGAUAAGACCACACAUUCCACAUGGUGGUCAAAAUGGUGGAAGCAGUUCGAGUCCUUCGGUGUGUUCCACUGAAGUUGACUCCUGCUCGAGGGAAGGGAGCGCUCCGCCAGAAGUCCUAACAGCUUCCAGUGCGGUGAGCUAAAUUUCCAAUUGUUUCAUUUCUUCUCUAGCGGCCAUAAAGGGCACCGGCUAAUAUAUCCUUUUCUCGCUUUGCAGGAGCCGGGAUGUUUCUAGAAGCUUUCGAUGCUUCUAGAUGUUUCUAGAUGUUUCUAGAAGCUUUUGAUGUUUCUAGAAGUUUCAAGAUGUUUCGAAUUUGAAGUUUUAAAAUGAUGCUGUGGGAUCUGUCCCACGUCAUCUGCACUGGCCGGCUCCAACCAGGUUAGCAGUCAGCUUCCCGGGGAUAGGCGAGGUCACUCCCCGCUGCUCCAGGUCCGGUAGCAGUUUUUGAGGUCGGUCCGAUGCAUCUUUAAUUUUCAAAUUGCGUCUGCGCUCGGCUACAAAUUUAAAAUGUGAUUUAGAGCAAUAGUUAUUUUAAUUUAAAGUUUUGAAAGUUCUGGUGCAUAAAACUUAGGUAUUUCGAAAUUUAGUCUUUAGUAAUUAAUUAAUUGGUGUAAACCUUAUAACAUGAACCUGUGAAGCGACCCAGCUAUACCACUGAGCUUUUACAUAAUAAUAUUAGGUUAAUAAAGUUUGUUAGAUA